rnacentral:rRNA from 2 species
GGGUUGUGAGGUUAAGCGACUAAGCGUACACGGUGGAUGCCUAGGCAGUCAGAGGCGAUGAAGGGCGUGCUAAUCUGCGAUAAGCGUCGGUAAGCUGAUAUGAAGCGUUAUACCCGACGAUACCCGAAUGGGGAAACCCAGUGUGUUUCGACACACUAUCAUGACAUGAAUACAUAGUGUCAUGAGGCGAACCGGGGGAACUGAAACAUCUCAGUACCCCGAGGAAAAGAAAUCAACCGAGAUUCCCCCAGUAGCGGCGAGCGAACGGGGAGGAGCCCAGAACCUGAAUCAGUUUGUGUGUUAGUGGAAGCGUCUGGAAAGUCGCACAGUAAAGGGUGAUAGUCCCGUACACAAAAAUGCACAAGUUGUGAGUUCGAUGAGUAGGGCGGGACACGUGACAUCCUGUCUGAAUAUGGGGGGACCAUCCUCCAAGGCUAAAUACUCCUGACUGACCGAUAGUGAACCAGUACCGUGAGGGAAAGGCGAAAAGAACCCCGGCGAGGGGAGUGAAAUAGAACCUGAAACCGUGUACGUACAAGCAGUGGGAGCCUACUUGUUAGGUGACUGCGUACCUUUUGUAUAAUGGGUCAGCGACUUAUAUUCUGUAGCAAGGUUAACCGUAUAGGGGAGCCGCAGGGAAACCGAGUCUUAACUGGGCGUUAAGUUGCAGGGUAUAGACCCGAAACCCGGUGAUCUAGCCAUGGGCAGGUUGAAGGUUGGGUAACACUAACUGGAGGACCGAACCGACUAAUGUUGAAAAAUUAGCGGAUGACUUGUGGCUGGGGGUGAAAGGCCAAUCAAACCGGGAGAUAGCUGGUUCUCCCCGAAAGCUAUUUAGGUAGCGCCUCGUGAAUUCAUCUUCGGGGGUAGAGCACUGUUUCGGCUAGGGGGUCAUCCCGACUUACCAACCCGAUGCAAACUACGAAUACCGAAGAAUGUUAUCACGGGAGACACACGGCGGGUGCUAACGUUCGUCGUGAAGAGGGAAACAACCCAGACCGCCAGCUAAGGUCCCAAAGUCAUGGUUAAGUGGGAAACGAUGUGGGAAGGCAUAGACAGCCAGGAUGUUGGCUUAGAAGCAGCCAUCAUUUAAAGAAAGCGUAAUAGCUCACUGGUCGAGUCGGCCUGCGCGGAAGAUGUAACGGGGCUAAACCAUGCACCGAAGCUGCGGCAGCGACACGUAGUGUUGUUGGGUAGGGGAGCGUUCUGUAAGCCUGCGAAGGUGGCCUGUGAGGGCUGCUGGAGGUAUCAGAAGUGCGAAUGCUGACAUAAGUAACGAUAAUGCGGGUGAAAAACCCGCACGCCGGAAGACCAAGGGUUCCUGUCCAACGUUAAUCGGGGCAGGGUGAGUCGACCCCUAAGGCGAGGCUGAAAAGCGUAGUCGAUGGGAAACAGGUUAAUAUUCCUGUACUCGGUGUUACUGCGAAGGGGGGACGGAGAAAGCUAGGUUAUCCGGGCGACGGUUGUCCCGGUUUAAGCGUGAAGGUGGGUGACUUUGGUAAAUCCGGGUCAUCGUUAACACUGAGGCGUGAUGACGAGUCACUACGGUGAUGAAGUAACCGAUGCUACGCUUCCAGGAAAAGCCUCUAAGCUCCAGGUAACAUCAAAUCGUACCCCAAACCGACACAGGUGGUCAGGUAGAGAAUACUCAGGCGCUUGAGAGAACUCGGGUGAAGGAACUAGGCAAAAUGGUGCCGUAACUUCGGGAGAAGGCACGCUGAUGGUAGGUGAAGUGACUUGCUCAUGGAGCUGAAAUCAGUCGAAGAUACCAGCUGGCUGCAACUGUUUAAUAAAAACACAGCACUGUGCAAACACGAAAGUGGACGUAUACGGUGUGACGCCUGCCCGGUGCCGGAAGGUUAAUUGAUGGGGUCAGCCGCAAGGCGAAGCUCUUGAUCGAAGCCCCGGUAAACGGCGGCCGUAACUAUAACGGUCCUAAGGUAGCGAAAUUCCUUGUCGGGUAAGUUCCGACCUGCACGAAUGGCGUAAUGAUGGCCAGGCUGUCUCCACCCGAGACUCAGUGAAAUUGAACUCGCUGUGAAGAUGCAGUGUACCCGCGGCAAGACGGAAAGACCCCGUGAACCUUUACUAUAGCUUGACACUGAACCUUGAGCCUUGAUGUGUAGGAUAGGUGGGAGGCUUUGAAGCGU